GGUUAAGCGACUAAGCGUACACGGUGGAUGCCCUGGCAGUCAGAGGCGAUGAAGGACGUGCUAAUCUGCGAUAAGCGUCGGUAAGGUGAUAUGAACCGUUAUAACCGGCGAUUUCCGAAUGGGGAAACCCAGUGUGUUUCGACACACUAUCAUUAACUGAAUCCAUAGGUUAAUGAGGCGAACCGGGGGAACUGAAACAUCUAAGUACCCCGAGGAAAAGAAAUCAACCGAGAUUCCCCCAGUAGCGGCGAGCGAACGGGGAGCAGCCCAGAGCCUGAAUCAGUGUGUGUGUUAGUGGAAGCGUCUGGAAAGGCGCGCGAUACAGGGUGACAGCCCCGUACACAAAAAUGCACAUGCUGUGAGCUCGAUGAGUAGGGCGGGACACGUGGUAUCCUGUCUGAAUAUGGGGGGACCAUCCUCCAAGGCUAAAUACUCCUGACUGACCGAUAGUGAACCAGUACCGUGAGGGAAAGGCGAAAAGAACCCCGGCGAGGGGAGUGAAAAAGAACCUGAAACCGUGUACGUACAAGCAGUGGGAGCACGCUUAGGCGUGUGACUGCGUACCUUUUGUAUAAUGGGUCAGCGACUUAUAUUCUGUAGCAAGGUUAACCGAAUAGGGGAGCCGAAGGGAAACCGAGUCUUAACUGGGCGUUAAGUUGCAGGGUAUAGACCCGAAACCCGGUGAUCUAGCCAUGGGCAGGUUGAAGGUUGGGUAACACUAACUGGAGGACCGAACCGACUAAUGUUGAAAAAUUAGCGGAUGACUUGUGGCUGGGGGUGAAAGGCCAAUCAAACCGGGAGAUAGCUGGUUCUCCCCGAAAGCUAUUUAGGUAGCGCCUCGUGAAUUCAUCUCCGGGGGUAGAGCACUGUUUCGGCAAGGGGGUCAUCCCGACUUACCAACCCGAUGCAAACUACGAAGACCGGAGAAUGUUAUCACGGGAGACACACGGCGGGUGCUAACGUCCGUCGUGAAGAGGGAAACAACCCAGACCGCCAGCUAAGGUCCCAAAGUCAUGGUUAAGUGGGAAACGAUGUGGGAAGGCCCAGACAGCCAGGAUGUUGGCUUAGAAGCAGCCAUCAUUUAAAGAAAGCGUAAUAGCUCACUGGUCGAGUCGGCCUGCGCGGAAGAUGUAACGGGGCUAAACCAUGCACCGAAGCUGCGGCAGCGACGCUGAUGCGUUGUUGGGUAGGGGAGCGUUCUGUAAGCCUGCGAAGGUGUGCUGUGAGGCAUGCUGGAGGUAUCAGAAGUGCGAAUGCUGACAUAAGUAACGAUAAAGCGGGUGAAAAGCCCGCUCGCCGGAAGACCAAGGGUUCCUGUCCAACGUUAAUCGGGGCAGGGUGAGUCGACCCCUAAGGCGAGGCCGAAAGGCGUAGUCGAUGGGAAACAGGUUAAUAUUCCUGUACUUGGUGUUACUGCGAAGGGGGGACGGAGAAGGCUAUGUUGGCCGGGCGACGGUUGUCCCGGUUUAAGCGUGUAGGCUGGUUUUCCAGGCAAAUCCGGAAAAUCAAGGCUGAGGCGUGAUGACGAGGCACUACGGUGCUGAAGCAACAAAUGCCCUGCUUCCAGGAAAAGCCUCUAAGCAUCAGGUAACAUCAAAUCGUACCCCAAACCGACACAGGUGGUCAGGUAGAGAAUACCAAGGCGCUUGAGAGAACUCGGGUGAAGGAACUAGGCAAAAUGGUGCCGUAACUUCGGGAGAAGGCACGCUGAUAUGUAGGUGAGGUCCCUCGCGGAUGGAGCUGAAAUCAGUCGAAGAUACCAGCUGGCUGCAACUGUUUAUUAAAAACACAGCACUGUGCAAACACGAAAGUGGACGUAUACGGUGUGACGCCUGCCCGGUGCCGGAAGGUUAAUUGAUGGGGUUAGCGGUAACGCGAAGCUCUUGAUCGAAGCCCCGGUAAACGGCGGCCGUAACUAUAACGGUCCUAAGGUAGCGAAAUUCCUUGUCGGGUAAGUUCCGACCUGCACGAAUGGCGUAAUGAUGGCCAGGCUGUCUCCACCCGAGACUCAGUGAAAUUGAACUCGCUGUGAAGAUGCAGUGUACCCGCGGCAAGACGGAAAGACCCCGUGAACCUUUACUAUAGCUUGACACUGAACAUUGAGCCUUGAUGUGUAGGAUAGGUGGGAGGCUUUGAAGUGUGGACGCCAGUCUGCAUGGAGCCGACCUUGAAAUACCACCCUUUAAUGUUUGAUGUUCUAACGUUGACCCGUAAUCCGGGUUGCGGACAGUGUCUGGUGGGUAGUUUGACUGGGGCGGUCUCCUCCUAAAGAGUAACGGAGGAGCACGAAGGUUGGCUAAUCCUGGUCGGACAUCAGGAGGUUAGUGCAAUGGCAUAAGCCAGCUUGACUGCGAGCGUGACGGCGCGAGCAGGUGCGAAAGCAGGUCAUAGUGAUCCGGUGGUUCUGAAUGGAAGGGCCAUCGCUCAACGGAUAAAAGGUACUCCGGGGAUAACAGGCUGAUACCGCCCAAGAGUUCAUAUCGACGGCGGUGUUUGGCACCUCGAUGUCGGCUCAUCACAUCCUGGGGCUGAAGUAGGUCCCAAGGGUAUGGCUGUUCGCCAUUUAAAGUGGUACGCGAGCUGGGUUUAGAACGUCGUGAGACAGUUCGGUCCCUAUCUGCCGUGGGCGCUGGAGAACUGAGGGGGGCUGCUCCUAGUACGAGAGGACCGGAGUGGACGCAUCACUGGUGUUCGGGUUGUCAUGCCAAUGGCACUGCCCGGUAGCUAAAUGCGGAAGAGAUAAGUGCUGAAAGCAUCUAAGCACGAAACUUGCCCCGAGAUGAGUUCUCCCUGACUCCUUGAGAGUCCUGAAGGAACGUUGAAGACGACGACGUUGAUAGGCCGGGUGUGUAAGCGCAGCGAUGCGUUGAGCUAACCGGUACUAAUGAACCGUGAGGCUUAACCUU
rnacentral:rRNA from 1 species